rnacentral:rRNA from 1 species
CCGGUUGAUCCUGCCGGACCCGACUGCUAUCAGAGUGAGAUUAAGCCAUGCGAGUCAACGUAGCAAUACGUGGCAUACGGCUCAGUAACACGUAGUUAACAUGCCCAAAGGACGUGGAUAACCUCGGGAAACUGAGGAUAAACCGCGAUAGGCCAAGGUUUCUGGAAUGAGCCAUGGCCGAAAUCUACAUGGCCUUUGGAUUGGACUGCGGCCGAUCAGGCUGUUGGUGAGGUAAUGGCCCACCAAACCUGUAACCGGUACGGGCUUUGAGAGAAGGAGCCCGGAGAUGGGCACUGAGACAAGGGCCCAGGCCCUAUGGGGCGCAGCAGGCGCGAAACCUCUGCAAUAGGCGAAAGCCUGACAGGGUUACUNCUGAGNNUGAUGCCCGCUAAGGGUAUCUUUUGGCACCUCUAAAAAUGGUGCAGAAUAAGGGGUGGGCAAGUCUGGUGUCAGCCGCCGCGGUAAUACC